CUAGUCGCACGAGUUCAGACUCGUGGCAGAUAGCUCAGUAACACGUGGCCAAACUACCCUGUCGAUCGGGACACCCUCGGGAAACUGAGGCUAAUCCCGGAUACGGCUCGCUGCCUGGAGUUGGCGCGAGCUCGAAACGUUCAGGCGCGACAGGAUGUGGCUGCGGCCGAUUAGGUAGACGGUGGGGUAACGGCCCACCGUGCCGAUAAUCGGUACGGGUUGUGAAAGCAAGAGCCCGGAGACGGAAUCUGAGACAAGAUUCCGGGCCCUACGGGGCGCAGCAGGCGCGAAACCUUUACACUGCACGCGAGUGCGAUAGGGGGACUCCAAGUGCGAGGGCAUACAGUCCUCGCUUUUCACCACCGUAAGGAGGUGGUAGAAUAAGUGCUGGGCAAGACCGGUGCCAGCCGCCGCGGUAAUACCGGCAGCACGAGUGAUGACCGCUAUUAUUGGGCCUAAAGCGUCCGUAGCCGGCCGGGCAAGUCCAUCGGGAAAUCCGCACGCCUAACGUGCGGGCGUCCGGUGGAAACUGCUUGGCUUGGGACCGGAAGAUCCAGAGGGUACGUCUGGGGUAGGAGUGAAAUCCCGUAAUCCUGGACGGACCACCGGUGGCGAAAGCGCUCUGGAAAGACGGAUCCGACGGUGAGGGACGAAAGCUUGGGUCACGAACCGGAUUAGAUACCCGGGUAGUCCAAGCUGUAAACGAUGUCUGCUAGGUGUGGCACAGGCUACGAGCCUGUGCUGUGCCGUAGGGAAGCCGUGAAGCAGACCGCCUGGGAAGUACGUCUGCAAGGAUGAA
rnacentral:rRNA from 1 species